rnacentral:sRNA from 1 species
ACAGUCCUUAGUACAUUUCUGCAUGGAGAUCAUCCCUCUCCAGCCCAUUCACAGAAGGCUUCUGCAGAUUUUUCUAUAGUAUACUAACUAGAUUUACUUUUAGAUAAUUUCCAUGAUUUCUCCAGUUGAGCUUUGUGGAGCCUGUUCUCCAGCUUUGGAGGGAAGCUCAGAACCUGCCCCUUGCCUGAUUUUCUGUGGGAAGUGUCCUUUUCAGGCUGUGACACAGCACGAUACAGAGUUUUGUCUGAGGAGAUGCAACCCCAAGUGUUCUCCUGGGUUUGAUGGCAAUGACAGUAACCUGGAAAGAAUAUACAGGGCAAAUGAAGCGCAACAGAGGGGAAGAAAUAGAUUUUGAGACACCUGGGUCCAUUCUUGUCAACACCAACCUCCGUGCCCUGAUCAACUCUCGGACCUUCCAUGCCUUACCAUCACACUUCCAGCAGCAGCUCCUCUUCCUCCUGCCUGAAGUAGACAGACAGGUGGGGACGGAUGGCCUGUUGCGUCUCAGCAGCAGUGCACUAAAUAACGAGUUUUUUACCCAUGCGGCUCAGAGCUGGCGGGAGCGCCUGGCUGAUGGUGAAUUUACUCAUGAGAUGCAAGUCAGGAUACGACAGGAAAUGGAGAAGGAAAAGAAGGUGGAACAAUGGAAAGAAAAGUUCUUUGAAGACUACUAUGGACAGAAGCUGGGUUUGACCAGAGAAGAGUCAUUGCAGCAGAACGUGGGCCAGGAGGAGGCUGAAAUCAAAAGUGGCUUGUGUGUCCCAGGAGAAUCAGUGCGUAUACAGCGUGGUCCAGCCACCCGACAGCGA